ACAAUUUUAAGGUUUUACCUUGUGUUGUCUACGUGAUCGGUUUGUCGAUCGGUUGAAACCCUGGAAGCGUCACUAUUGUAAAAGUGAAGUUGCAGUGAAAAUGCGAUUGAACUAGCAAAAAGUAACAGCUUGUCAGUAUUAUCAAU
rnacentral:misc_RNA from 1 species